CCUACGGGAGGCAGCAGUGGGGAAUAUUGCACAAUGGGCGCAAGCCUGAUGCAGCGACGCCGCGUGGGGGAUGACGGCCUUCGGGUUGUAAACUCCUUUCGCUAGGGACGAAGCUUUUUGUGACGGUACCUAGAUAAGAAGCACCGGCUAACUACGUGCCAGCAGCCGCGGUAAUACGUAGGGUGCGAGCGUUGUCCGGAAUUACUGGGCGUAAAGGGCUCGUAGGUGGUUUGUCGCGUCGUCUGUGAAAUUCCGGGGCUUAACUCCGGGCGUGCAGGCGAUACGGGCAUAACUUGAGUACUGUAGGGGUAACUGGAAUUCCUGGUGUAGCGGUGAAAUGCGCAGAUAUCAGGAGGAACACCGAUGGCGAAGGCAGGUUACUGGGCAGUUACUGACGCUGAGGAGCGAAAGCAUGGGUAGCGAACAGGAUUAGAUACCCUGGUAGUCCAUGCCGUAAACGGUGGGCGCUAGGUGUGAGGGUCUUUUCACGACUUUCGUGCCGUAGCUAACGCAUUAAGCGCCCCGCCUGGGGAGUACGGCCGCAAGGCUAAAACUCAAAGGAAUUGACGGGGGCCCGCACAAGCGGCGGAGCAUGUGGAUUAAUUCGAUGCAACGCGAAGAACCUUACCUGGGCUUGACAUACACCGGAUCGGGCUAGAGAUAGUCUUUCCCUUUGUGGCUGGUGUACAGGUGGUGCAUGGUUGUCGUCAGCUCGUGUCGUGAGAUGUUGGGUUAAGUCCC
rnacentral:rRNA from 1 species